AGUAAUACAUAAGUAACCUGCCCUAGACAGGGGGAUAACUAUUGGAAACGAUAGCUAAGACCGCAUAGGUACGGACACUGCAUGGUGACCGUAUUAAAAGUGCCUCAAAGCACUGGUAGAGGAUGGACUUAUGGCGCAUUAGCUGGUUGGCGGGGUAACGGCCCACCAAGGCGACGAUGCGUAGCCGACCUGAGGGGGUGACCGGCCACACUGGGACUGAGACACGGCCCAG
rnacentral:rRNA from 1 species